AAAGGGGUAAUUUGAAAAUAAAAUGAUAAUAAUAAAAAGGACCAAUGGGUAAAGCGUGCAAAUGCGUAGGGGCUCAAACUGGAAAUAAUCCAAGCCCCAAAACGCUGCGUUUAGGCGCGAAUUAGAUUGCAACAAAUGUAAAUUAAAGGCCAAAUUUAAAAAAAAACAAAAUAAAGUACAUCAGGUGCGAUUGAAUAUUCGCGUGAAAUAUGAGGCCCUCACGCGCAAUUACCCCUCUCCGCAGAGACACGCGGAUCCCAGGGGUGACAAACCGGAUCAGGUCGGGGCUUUAGCCAAUACGACACCGUUUUGGAGCCACUGGAUCAGGCUUAAAACGGCACCGUUUCUGGUCCUUUAAAAAGACUGAAACCAGCCUCCUUCAGCCGGAUCAAACCCUAGCCCCUUUUCUUCUCAACCAGCACCUUGAACCCCUGGCCUUGUACACCGAUCCACCACCAAAAUGGCAGCUAGUGACUUCGGGGCCACAAGGAUCAUUUUUUAGCUACGAAAUCGCCUAUUGUCUUCGAUUUCGAUGAAGCAAGGAGGAAUGGAUGGCUUAUUCGCAAGGUAUCACCUCUCUUUUCCUUUCUUUUUGAAUGUAAAUGAUGAAAAACGCAAGAAACGAGUAAUCAAAAUAUCGAAACGGAGAUCACCUUCAAAAAUUGGUUGCCUUUUUUUGUAUUCUAUAUGUGCGAUAUGCGUCUGUAUUGCGUGUGUUCGUAACCGACUACAAAGAUUGAAAUAUUGGCUUCAUAGCCGAAAAGAAAGAAAGAAAAAUCAAUAAAAAAUACAAUAUUUUUCUUUGUUUGUAUUUGCUGCUGUGUUUGCCUCAUUUGCUUGCAAGUACGGAGGUACGGGGCCAGCUGUGGGGAUAUGUGGCACUCGACGUAGGGCGUACGGAGGCGUUGGAGGCGGUCCUACGGUGCGAGAGCUAGGGCUCGGUUGCGGCGCAAUGAGAGAACCCUAGGGUUCCUGUUCUUGAAAUGUUUCGGGCCUUUUGGGCCGAUAUAACUUGGAUCUGGGUUUAUCUAUAAAUAGGCUGGUUAUUUGGGUCUUGGGUCAAUUUGGGAUUGGGCAUUAACUUGGGCUGCGGACUAUUGAAAUGAUUUGGACUUUGGACUAUUAAUUAUUUGGUUUUUAUAUUUAUUUAUUUAUUUUGUAUUUUAUCUUGGGUUUCUAAUGGGCCCGGGCAAAUUGGCCCAUUUACAGCUGGUUGAUUUAACAUCAUAUCAUAGUCCCAUAGAGAGUGAAUGGUCGGUUCCUGAGUACACAAACAAAUAGCACAGCUAGCAUUGUUCUUCAUUUCUCUUCGGCGUUGCUUUUCAUUAGUUAAUAAUCUCCCACUUAAGGUGAUCCAUAAGAAACUCCUUAUACGCUAUGGUACUGGCAGCUUUCAUACUUUUGACUACCAUUCAUCUUCAAUAUCCCAGUAGCUACUACUAAUAAACUUGUACGUAGUCGCUACCGAGAAGUUUAACUAAAUAGAGGCUCCCUAAGCAAUUCUAUCCGGUCCAGCAACAUAGAGAAUUGCAGUAUAGUUAAUCAUAUUGUUAAGCCCAUUCCAUUCUUCUUGACCAUGAACCAAAUUAGUAAGUUUUAGAUUUUCAUCAAUAGAUUGAGGCUCAAUACAUUGAUUCAUUAACAGUCUAAGCUCGACAAAACAAGUAUCAAUCCAUAAUCUAAUACGCCUUCCAUUUCCAAUCCCCCAGCAAAUAUUCUAAAAAUAAAUCUCAAAUCUUUGCCAACAAUCUCCAAUUAUAGGAGCAAACAGAUCAGUCAAUCUUCAACGGAUGGUCUUUAUUAACUUUUU
rnacentral:lncRNA from 1 species